rnacentral:tRNA from 1 species
GCGGGAUUGGUGUAGUGGUAGCACAGCAGCCUUCCAAGCUUCUGGCACCGGUUCGAAUCCGGUAUCCCGCUCCA